UUGCCAGACUCCUACGGGAGGCAGUAGUGGGGGAUAUUGCACAAUGGGGGGAACCCUGAUGCAGCGACGCCGCGUGGGUGAAGAAGCGCCUCGGCGCGUAAAGCCCUGUCAGCAGGGAGGAAAAUGACGGUACCUGAAGAAGAAGCCCCGGCUAACUACGUGCCAGCAGCCGCGGUAAUACGUAGGGGGCAAGCGUUAUCCGGAUUUACUGGGUGUAAAGGGAGCGCAGGCGGCGCGUUAAGCCUGGUGUGAAAGCCCGCGGCCCAACCGCGGGACUGCAUUGGGAACUGGCGCGCUGGAGUGCCGGAGGGGUAGGCGGAAUUCCUAGUGUAGCGGUGAAAUGCGUAGAUAUUAGGAGGAACACCAGUGGCGAAGGCGGCUUACUGGACUGUAACUGACGUUGAGGCUCGAAAGCGUGGGGAGCAAACAGGAUUAGAUACCCGAGUAUCC
rnacentral:rRNA from 1 species